UGUAAGCGUAUACCAAAGUUGUUGCAGUUAAAACGCUCGUAGUCGGAAUUUGGCAGUUCCGGAUGUGUGCACGUCGUGUGCGCACUUCGCGGGGAUUGCUUUUGUGGUCUUGCGUAGGAUGAGGCACUUUUAUUAGUGAACGUCCUCACGCAACCACUUUUUACUGUGAGAAAAUCAGAGUGCUCAAAGCAGGCAUUUGCCGUGAAUGUAUUAGCAUGGAAUAAUAGAAUAGGACUUGGUUCUAUUUUGUUGGUUUGUUGGGACUGAGUAAUGAUUAAGAGGGACAGUUGGGGGCACUUGUAUUUCGGCGCUAGAGGUGAAAUUCUUAGAUUGCCGAAAGACAAACUGCUGCGAAAGCGUCUGCCAAGGAUGUUUUCAUUGA
rnacentral:rRNA from 1 species